GGAUAUGAGGACAAUUUGGCUGCAACACCUGUCACCCCAGUGACCACCAGGUUGAUUCAGCUGGUCUGGCUGCUGGCCAGCCAGGACUCCUCUUCCUCUCUCACCGCUCCACACGAAACUCUUCCCAAGCUGCACGCUCAGUAGAAAAGGAUGAUCUUCCCCAAAGAGCAGAGAGCCAGUCUUUGGUCAAGGGUAUACCAGUAGCUGUGCACCCUGCUAGAUCCUCCAAACAAGGUCUCAAGUGUUUAGGGGUACUGAAGUUCAUGAAUAGAACAUGAAUUUGGGGUGCAGUGAUGUCCUGGCUUGUUUU
rnacentral:snRNA from 1 species